AGCUUUGCGCAGUGGCAGUAUCAUAGCCAAUGAGGUUUAUCCGAGGCGCGAUUAUUGCUAAUUGAAAACUAAUUUCUUCACUCCUGCUCUUUGUAAUGAAAUCCUUGAAGGGAAAGUGUGGCAUGUCUAUGUCUAAUAUAUAAAAAU